UCAGACGAUGCGUCAUGCAUAUCAAUAAGCGGAGGAAAAGAAACUAACUAGGAUUCCCCUAGUAACGGCGAGUGAAGCGGGAAGAGCUCAAAUUUGAAAUCUUCAAGGUUUGACCUUGACGAAUUGUAGUUUAAAGAAGUGUUUUCUGUUGAAGUUUUGGUAAAAGUUCUUUGGAAUAGGACAUCAUAGAGGGUGAGAAUCCCGUAUUUGACCAUUAUUUCCAGCUUUGUGAUACACUUUCAAAGAGUCGGAUUGUUUGGGAAUGCAGUCCAAAAUGGGUGGUAAAUUUCAUCUAAAGCUAAAUAUUGGCGAGAGACCGAUAGCGAACAAGUACCGUGAGGGAAAGAUGAAAAGAACUUUGAAAAGAGAGUUAAACAGUACGUGAAAUUGUCAAAAGGGAAGCGUUUGACACCAGUGUUGUUUUCUCGAAAAUCAAUUAAAAAGAGUUGGAUUUUGUGUUGUAUUGACCUUAACAGCUUGCUUCACUCUUUUCCUGCUUUUUUUAAUGCACUUUUCGUUUAACAAGUCAACAUCAGUUUCUUUUGUUGUAAAAGGGUCAUUGGAAGGUGGCUUUCUCUUCGGAGAAAGUGUUUAUAGCCUUUGAUCUCUGCAAUCGGAGAGACUGAGGUCUGCAGCGUAGAUCCUUCGGGGUUAGAUACAUUUGUGCUAAGCUACAGCUUUUCAUAGACAACUUGUUGACUAUGUUUAGUCUUGUAACUUACCCGCUUAUGCUAUUUUACCUACGCUUAGGAUGUUGAUAUGCAUGACUGAUAU
rnacentral:rRNA from 1 species